UACGUAGGGGGCAAGCGUUAUCCGGAUUUACUGGGUGUAAAGGGGGCGCAGACGGCGCGGCAAGUCCGGAGUGAAAUCCCAGGGCCCAACCCUGGGGCUGCUCUGGAAACUGCCGGGCUGGAGUGCUGGGGGGGCAGGCGGAAUUCCUAGUGUAGCGGUGAAAUGCGUAGAUAUUAGGAGGAACACCGGUGGCGAAGGCGGCCUGCUGGACAGCGACUGACGUUGAGGCCCGAAAGCGUGGGGAGCAAACAGG
rnacentral:rRNA from 1 species